CUUUGAGUCUGUAUCCGUUUCCUGUGUAUCCACGUGUUCGGUUGUAAAUAUUAACAUCAAACUUUUGAUAUUUUCUUGAGUACAAAAUUCUUGGUUCUCUAAUAAAUCCGAUAAAACCAAGGUCUCUCUGUUAAUAAUAAAGCUGCUUGUUCUAGUUCUUGGUCUCUCAAUCGGUGUGAGUAUGUCAACACAAAACCAUUUAUUUGAAAUGCAGAAUCAUUGCUUUCGAGUGAUGGAUUCUUACUUAAUUUGUUGUUCCAUCAGUGUUUGAUUAUUUGUUAAAAACUAUGGAAAUCACUAGACUUUCCCAAAUCUGAGGUGUAGAAGAAGACAUUUUUUCCAUGGCGAUUUCAAUAUCACAAUGUCUCUGGUGAAAGCAAUCAACUUGGAGGAUCAGAGGUCGGCUUUGAUCCAGUGGGAAAGUAUGGAAGAGCUGGAAAAUACUGUCGCACCCUAUGUUUCCGAAGUGAUUAAAAAGUCUAUUUAUGGUGGUUAUAAAAGUGCAAGUGAAGUGUUUGAAGAUUAUAAAACCUUCAACGCUCUUCUUAAAAAAAUGGUAGACAGAAAAUAUAAGCUUCUUGUUGAAAGAUAUGUUGAGGAGUACAUCUAUCGCUACACAGUGUAGAUCCAUGCCAAGAUGCUUUAUGAGUUUGCUUCCUUGUUAUUGCUAACUGGUAAGGCCCUUCAGAAAGAGCACAGAAAUUGGAUCCGUGAUCAUAUACUGAGAGUUGAAUUUAACCAGGAGAGGCUUCUGUCGGACUCUCUGGAGUUUUUUUUAUUAUGUAUGGGAGAAGAUGAUGAAUCAGUUGGACAAGGAUGCUCAGAGGGAAGUAGAUAAACAAAAGGAUGAAAAGUCCAUCCAUUUCCUGAAAUAUCUGACCGAACUCAAGUUCGAACUCGAGUUCAAUAAUGUUGAACAAAAGAUAACAGAGUUCGAGGAGCUAGAGUCUGAAAUCACCUGUAUGAAAACUGACCGGGUUUUGCGAGCUAGACAUUACACUAUUUAUUAUAAGACAUUGAGCGGUGUAGAGGAUCAAUUCAACAGGCUUGAAAUUGCAUUUAUUAAACUGCUACCCAAGGGCGAGGUAAGCUGAAAUUUGAUUUAUACUGUAAUUACUAUUUAAUUCAGUUAACAAGCUUGUGCCUUUUAGUGCUUAUUAUUUGUAUGUAUUAUUGGUGACUCGGAAUGAUCUUGCAAAAAAGUGGUAUGUCGAAAAAAUACGCAAGCUGGAGCUCGUCCGGAAAGAGGGAGCCCGUCCGGAAAGAGGAGGAGGAAUAUAGGAACGCAUGAACUGUAAGAAGAUGGGGAAGGAGGCUAUGGUCUCUUCUGGGGUUCUUUUGUAAAACUACGGGUGUGCUCAUCUUACACCACAACUUUAUAAGCUUAUUCGAACUAUAGCUUCUAAAUAAAUUUAUGCCUUUGUUGGAACAGUUAUCGCUCUCUGAAUUCUGCAAACUCAGUUAUUUAUGAGUACCUUGCUUGAGUAUGUAA